UACGUAGGGGGCUAGCGUUGUCCGGAAUCAUUGGGCGUAAAGAGCGUGUAGGCGGCUCGGUAAGUCCGCUGUGAAAGUCCAGGGCUCAACCCUGGAAUGCCAGUGGAAACUGUCGAGCUAGAGUCCGGAAGAGGCGAGUGGAAUUCCUGGUGUAGCGGUGAAAUGCGCAGAUAUCAGGAAGAACACCCGUGGCGAAGGCAGCUCGCUGGGACGGUACUGACGCUGAGGCGCGAAAGCGUGGGGAGCAAACAGG
rnacentral:rRNA from 1 species